CCCGGUGCGGUUGAAUAAUAUGUACAAGCCACGAGGUUGGUUGCUUUAGAAAAACUAAGAAAAAAAUAUAUUUACAUAGGUAAAUAUUAACUUGUAUUAUAAGGACAGAUGUAGGUAGUUGUAUGUGUAUGUAACAGAGUUUGAGCUAAUUUAUGGUCAUUGUUAUGAUUUACUUAUUGUGUAUAUGUUUCUGUUUAUGAGUAAGGUUAUGUCUAUUGUUCUCUGGUUCACUUUUGGUUAUAGGUAGUUGUAUGUGUAUGUAACAGAGUUUGGGAUAAUUUGUGAUCAUUGCUAUGAUUUAUUU
rnacentral:misc_RNA from 1 species